rnacentral:lncRNA from 1 species
GGAGGUCUGGUCUAAUUCUGAUUUCUUAAACACUUUCUCGCGUAGUGCAGGAUACUCCCACAUAUACGGUAAGUAUUAUUAAGGUAAUAGCAGGGUUGGUCCCCAUAAUCCUUGCCACAGUGUUGACACGCCUACCAUGUCCUGUUAGCAGAAUCUGAAGAGGAGCCUGAGUUACUGGCCUAGAUCUCUUGUUCUACUAAACAGGUGUAGUGGGUGCCAGUCGACGGUGUGAAACUGGGGUCCUGAGGUUUCCCAUUGCUAGAGAAAAAUUAUGAAGUUUCCUCUCAACUAGUUGUGUUUGGCCAGAACAGCUGAGUAAAUAUUGAGCUUGAACAC